AUACUUACCUGCCCGGGGAGAUAUCAUUAUCACAAAGGUGGUUUUCCCAGGGCGAGGCUUAUCUAUUGCACUCUGGAUGGGCUGACCCCUGCGAUUUCCCAAAAUACGGGAAUCUGGACUGCGUAGUUUGCAGUACUGGGGGCCUGCAUUCACAUUCUCCAA